CUUAAAUCACUAGCCCAAAAUAUUUGAUCCUAUUUAUAGGGAGACUAUCAUGUAUGCCCUCACAAGCUCUUAUAUUAUCUGAUCUGGGACUAUCGGAUAUCGCUGUCAAUCCUAUCACACACAUAGUCCAUGAUCACCAGACAACGCGAGGCUCAUCUCCCACUUCUGGUUAGUAAAUCGGCUAUGGUACCAACGGUAACGAUCCAGCCCUCUAGCGCUAACAACUCUUUAGGCUCAAAUCACUGGUCUAAACUAUGUCCAUCACAUAUAAGCCCUCACACUCUUCCAUAUUAUCGGU
rnacentral:lncRNA from 1 species